CCCCACCGCCUCGGGGGUCCUAGCUGCAGCUGCAAGGGGACGUGUGAAGAGUGCUGAGCGCCUCCCCAGGCAGAGGCGGAAUUGCACCGCAGUGGCAAGCAAGGCUGGCGGGGCUGCCGCUCAGCGCCUUGGCGUGCCCGUUGCACGCAAGCGGAGCCGGGGUUGGCUUCUGAUGUCACCAACAAGGAGUGGCGGGGGUGGAAAUAUCCUGCCUAAAAGCCACUGACGAUCGGUGCGGGUAAAACUCGUCUUGGCACACCAAGGGUCCAGUUCUAGUUCAAGCAGCUUCCCAUGUUUCGACUGAAUCCAGUUCUUUUCUCAGAACCUUGAGGACUAGAAUCGUCAUGCCCAGGGAGAAGCCCUGGCCAACAUCCAGAAGCAUCCCCUCUUCUCCACAUAUCUCUGGGAUGCUUUGGACUCCGAAGUGCCAUGCUUUGCAUGGAAACAAGGCCCCUGCCUUGCAGGCUUUUGCUGCUUCCUCCUUCUCAGCAGUCCCCACCUUUAGGAGAGAAGUCUGUGGGGAAGAGGGAUCUUUCAGCAAUCUUGGAAGUCACCAUGAAAAUCAGAAGUGAAGGUGGAGGAGCUGAGCUCAUCUGAGUCUGAAGCAGGAAGGGGAGGGCACUGGGGAUAGGGGCAGUGGGACCUUCUGGGAAAGAACUGGGCAGGCAUGGACGCUGGGAGUUGGGUUAAAAUUUAAAGCCAAAUUUAAAGGCAAGUAUAUUAGCAUUAGAUAUAUUUAAAGCCUUUGAUUGUGUGGAAUGGCCAACAAUGAAGAAAGAUGGGAUUUGAAACAAAAUUUAAGAAAAUAAUAAAUCAAUUACAUUCAGAAAAUAUGGCAAAAAUAAUUGUAAAUGAUGGUAUUACAGAAAUAAUAACCUUAAGCCAAGGAACGAGACGGUUGCCCUUUGUCCCCAGUAUUAUUUGCAUUAAUGAUGGAAGUACUGGCAAAUGCAAUUCGAAAUGAUAUACAGAUAGAAGGAAUUGGAGUAUGUCAGAAAGUUAAAAUAAAUUUAUUUGUAGAUGAUGCACUGUUAAGAUUUCAGGAUCCAAUAAAUACUAUGGAGAGUAUAUUCACAUUUAAAGGAAUUUGGAAAAUACAGCAGGUUGCAAGUAAAUGGGAAAAAAUCAGAAAUGAUGUUAUAUAAUCAUCAUAAAAUGAAGAACUGGAUAUAUUAUAAGCAAAGUAUAAAUUAAAAAUGGUAGAUAGUAUUAGAUACUUAGGAAUUGAUCUUCCAAAAAAUAGUCAAGAACUAAAGAAAUACUAUGAAAAGUUAAAGAAGGAUAUAAAAGAUAAAAUAGGAAAAUAUGAAAAGGUAAAAUUAUCACGGUUUGGAAGAAUAGUAAUAAAAAUGAAAAUUCUUCCAAAGAUUAAUUUUUUAUUUCGGAUGAUUCCAAUCAAGUUUCAUGAUCAAGAAUUAAAGGAAAUACAGAAGUGAUUGGAAGUACAUUGUAAUGGAGGGAAGAGAACAAGAAUAAGUAAAGUAUUAUGGUAUGAAUCACAAAAAAGGGUGGCCUGGGUAUUCCAGAUAUCAAAAAGUAUUGGGUUGCAAAUCAAUUAAAGAUAGUUCCAGACAUUAUAGCCCAAAGUAAAGAACUAAUAUGGAAUGAUACUGAAUUAAAAGAAUUAAGAGAAAUAGGUGAUCAUUUAGAGACAUAAUGGUUUAAAAAGGAUAUAAAAAGAUUAUUAAGAGAAUUCAAAAUCCCUUUUUAAAAAGUACUAUGGAAGUAUGGGAAAAAUGGAGACAGCAGUUAAUUUCUCCGUUAACAAGAAUUUCUCCGUUAACAAGCAGUAUUGAUGGAAGGUAAAGUGUAAGCCUAUUCAAGAAUAUUUGAAUUUCUGGAGGGGAUAUGGGUAUAAAUGAAGUAUUUUAUACACUGUUAUUUGUUAUAUGAAAUGAAAUGGAAGUAAUAAUUGGUCUGGGGGGUGCACAGUGAUAUUUGUUAUUUUUAUUAUGUGUGUGUGUGUGUAUGAAAUUUAUACAAUGUAUUUAUGCAUUCUUAAUAUUUUAGAUACCAUAAGA